CGUAAAACAGCUAGAGCAUAUAUGUCAACAAACACGUCAAGUAAUGUUGUCCUGCUUGUGUGUGUGCAUACUAUCGAUGAUUUUUUCUUUCAAUCAAGAGUAUUCAUUCCAUAUCAGCAAUUUUUGAACAAGUCGAACUUGAAACCGAUUAGAAAGGAAUCAUUACGAAAUAAGAAUGCAAUGUUUUGAAUUAAGAGAAAAAAUGAUCAACAUGAUCGAGUCAGACUAAAUCAACAAAAGAAAAGAAAUGAUACAAUCUUUUAUGAUAAUGUGAUCAAAUAACAUUACAGACGAGAUUCGUGACUAUAUAAGUUGUAAAAACGAAGUGGUUUAUGCAGUACUUAUAUUAAUGACAGAAUUUUUCUCUAAGUAUUUUGGAAUAUGUAUUUGAUGUUUAUUAAGGGAGACAAUAUUUAAUGGAAUUUUUUAUGGAACACAAAAAUUAUGGUUGGUUUUCGAACAAUCGGAUUAAAUAUAUAUUUAUUAUAGCAUUACAGUAAACAAGAUUAGUCUUUGAAAGAGAAGACAUUAGUGAUAUAAUGACUUUUAGAAUAGGCGAUAAUAACUUGUUGACUAAAUAUUCUUUUUCAAGCAUUUUAAUAACAACAGCCAGUCAGCCACAACUAAA